AGUUAAAAAAUUAAUCCGUUUGUACUGUUGAAAACUGGCAUUGCUGACAAAAUAAUCAAACAGUGAUGCAUGACGUGCCACGUACACAUCAUGCUGACAUACAGAGAUCAAUUUUUAACAGGAUAAAUAGAUGAAAUUUUUAACA
rfam:Gossypium arboreum cultivar AKA8401 contig_1401_3, whole genome shotgun sequence.